UACCCGUUCCCAUUCCGAACACGGAAGUCAAGCCCUCCCACGCCGAUGAUACUGCGCCCUCGAGGUGCGGGAAAGUAGGUAAUCGCCAGGC
rfam:Treponema sp. GWC1_61_84 gwc1_scaffold_7375, whole genome shotgun sequence.